CACUGGAGCAACCCAGGCUGUCUACAGAGGUGUCACCUGGUCCUCCUCUCCCUGGACUCUGAGGUUGAGCCUUGGAGCAGGGCUCAGUUUCUCUCAUUUCCAGACACAGUCCCUAAAGGGGAAUACAGAAAAGGAUUAGCAAAGGACUUCAACGGCUUGGCCAGCCCUCUUGUGUGGACGGAGAAUCCCCAUGUCUCUGGUCUCCUCCAACUGUGGUCAGCCUAGUUCCUCAACUUGCUUUCUCAGCAGCCAUGAUCUCACACCUGUCAGAAAUGAGAAGUCCAGAAAUGAGAGAUUCUGGACCAGGUGGGAUGCCUUCUAAGAACUCUGCAAACAACUACAGAAUGCCUGGAGGGCAGUGUGUGUGUGUGGUGGGAGAAGUAUAGGAAGUCCUUGCAGCCAGCUAUUAUCCCACAUCACCAUUGACAAGUGGUGGUGAGGUCUCUCUGCCCACAAAGGGUGCACAUCACUGCUCCCGCAUAUCCUGUGACUCAGCUCUCAGUCUUUCCUCCACCAGCACCUCACUCUCCCCAAAUCAGUGAUCAGACUGAAGACAGGACAUCAUCUGUGUGCCCCUAACAGCACAGAACUGGCCACCCAGGAGGCAUCAAAAAUGGUUUGCCAAGUAUAUCCACAGAACCCUUCUCAACCCAGUCAGAUAAUCAGAACGGGUGUAUGAAGAAGAAAGGCAUUUGCCAUCACACCUUGGAAGGCGUAUAUAUAAUUGAGACCUACAGGGAUCAGCAACAGAAGGAACAGAGUGAGGAGAGGCACAGUGGUGGGGAGACCCUGAACGUGUAUGACGGAGAAUGAAAGAAUACAAGGUCUAGGGCUGUGAGGAAGAAACCUUGACAACUUUUCCUGGGAAAAUUCAGAGCCCAAGCUGAGGAGCCUUUGAGAAGUGAUCCAACGUCAUGGGAAUCUAGAAUAAGAAACACCACCACCCAUCGUAAUCUCGCUGGAGAGAUCUGGAAAGGAAUGUUUCAUUUUAACCUUUUUUUAAAGAUUUUAUUUUAUUUUUUA